GAACCACAGUCUACUAUGAUGAUUGGGCUGAAACAUUGGAGAUGAAGAAAUGAAAGCUUGGAAACAAGCAUCUACUCAGAAGGGGUGACCAUCCAUGUAUAGGCCGGGGGACAAGAUUGCAUGUUCAUUAAGGUGAGGUAACCAUUUUUUGCAGCUGUGAACAUGCACAAGACCCCCAGAUCACAGGAUUCAUCUGAUUUAGCUGAGGGAAUUGUUGAUGAAACUCAUACCACUGGAGAGGCAUCAUCCCAGAUAGAGGCCAGGGAAUUCACGACUUGCAUAUUCAUAAGGAACCACACUAUACUAUGAUGAGUGAGCUGAAACAGUGGAGAUGAAAAAUAUGAAAGUUUGGCACAAGCAUCUGCUCAGAAGGGGUGACCAUCCAUGUAGAGGCCGGGGGACAAGAUUGCAUGUUCAUUAAGGUGAGGUAACCAUUUUUUGCAGCUGUGAACAUGCACAAGACCCCCAGAUCGCAGGAUUCAUCAGAUUUAACCGAGGGGAUCAUUGAUGAAGCUUGUACCACAGGAGAGGCAUCAUCCCAAGUAGAGGCCAGGGAAUUCACGACUUGCAUAUUCAUAAGGAACCACACUCUACUGUGACGAGUGAGCUGAAACAUUGGAG